GAUGAACGCUAGCUACAGGCUUAACACAUGCAAGUCGAGGGGCAGCAUGGUCUUAGCUUGCUAAGGCCGAUGGCGACCGGCGCACGGGUGAGUAACACGUAUCCAACCUGCCGUCUACUCUUGGACAGCCUUCUGAAAGGAAGAUUAAUACAAGAUGGCAUCAUGAGUCCGCAUGUUCACAUGAUUAAAGGUAUUCCGGUAGACGAUGGGGAUGCGUUCCAUUAGAUAGUAGGCGGGGUAACGGCCCACCUAGUCUUCGAUGGAUAGGGGUUCUGAGAGGAAGGUCCCCCACAUUGGAACUGAGACACGGUCCAAACUCCUACGGGAGGCAGCAGUGAGGAAUAUUGGUCAAUGGGCGAGAGCCUGAACCAGCCAAGUAGCGUGAAGGAUGACUGCCCUAUGGGUUGUAAACUUCUUUUAUAAAGGAAUAAAGUCGGGUAUGGAUACCCGUUUGCAUGUACUUUAUGAAUAAGGAUCGGCUAACUCCGUGCCAGCAGCCGCGGUAAUACGGAGGAUCCGAGCGUUAUCCGGAUUUAUUGGGUUUAAAGGGAGCGUAGAUGGAUGUUUAAGUCAGUUGUGAAAGUUUGCGGCUCAACCGUAAAAUUGCAGUUGAUACUGGAUAUCUUGAGUGCAGUUGAGGCAGGCGGAAUUCGUGGUGUAGCGGUGAAAUGCUUAGAUAUCACGAAGAACUCCGAUUGCGAAGGCAGCCUGCUAAGCUGCAACUGACAUUGAGGCUCGAAAGUGUGGGUAUCAAACAGGAUUAGAUACCCUGGUAGUCCACACGGUAAACGAUGAAUACUCGCUGUUUGCGAUAUACUGCAAGCGGCCAAGCGAAAGCGUUAAGUAUUCCACCUGGGGAGUACGCCGGCAACGGUGAAACUCAAAGGAAUUGACGGGGGCCCGCACAAGCGGAGGAACAUGUGGUUUAAUUCGAUGAUACGCGAGGAACCUUACCCGGGCUUAAAUUGCAGAUGAAUUACGGUGAAAGCCGUAAGCCGCAAGGCAUCUGUGAAGGUGCUGCAUGGUUGUCGUCAGCUCGUGCCGUGAGGUGUCGGCUUAAGUGCCAUAACGAGCGCAACCCUUGUUGUCAGUUACUAACAGGUUCCGCUGAGGACUCUGACAAGACUGCCAUCGUAAGAUGUGAGGAAGGCGGGGAUGACGUCAAAUCAGCACGGCCCUUACGUCCGGGGCUACACACGUGUUACAAUGGGGGGUACAGAGGGCCGCUACCACGCGAGUGGAUGCCAAUCCCCAAAACCUCUCUCAGUUCGGACUGGAGUCUGCAACCCGACUCCACGAAGCUGGAUUCGCUAGUAAUCGCGCAUCAGCCACGGCGCGGUGAAUACGUUCCCGGGCCUUGUACACACCGCCCGUCAAGCCAUGGGAGCCGGGGGUACCUGAAGUGCGUAACCGCGAGGAGCGCCCUAGGGUAAAACUGGUGACUGGGGCU
rnacentral:rRNA from 1 species